ACGGCCUUAGUCUAGUGGCUAUGACCUCGGCCUUCCAAGCCGAUAUCCCGGGUUCGAAAUGAGGGGACUCCCUCAAGGCGUGAUUGGCGUUCAUCCCUACAGGAUGAAGCCAAUGUUCAUUAUCGAAUUUAAUAUGCGCAAAAGAGUCUUCUUAAGAAAAUCCCGGAGGCCGUA
rnacentral:tRNA from 1 species